rnacentral:rRNA from 1 species
GCUCCAAUAGCGUAUAUUUAAGUUGCUGCAGUUAAAAAGCUCGUAGUUGGAUUUCGGGUGGGUGGCGGCGGUCCGCCUCUGGUGAGUACUGCCGGCGCCACCUUACUGUCGGGGACGCGCUCCUGGGCUUCGCUGUCCGGGACGCGGAGUCGACGCGGUUACUUUGAGUAAAUUAGAGUGUUCAAAGCAGGCCUACGCUC